rnacentral:rRNA from 1 species
CACUCCUGCGGGAGGCAGCAGUGGGGAAUAUUGGACAAUGGGCGCAAGCCUGAUCCAGCCAUGCCGCGUGAGUGAUGAAGGCCCUAGGGUUGUAAAGCUCUUUCACCGGUGAAGAUAAUGACGGUAACCGGAGAAGAAGCCCCGGCUAACUUCGUGCCAGCAGCCGCGGUAAUACGAAGGGGGCUAGCGUUGUUCGGAUUUACUGGGCGUAAAGCGCACGUAGGCGGACUAUUAAGUCAGGGGUGAAAUCCCGGGGCUCAACCCCGGAACUGCCUUUGAUACUGGUAGUCUUGAGUUCGAGAGAGGUGAGUGGAAUUCCGAGUGUAGAGGUGAAAUUCGUAGAUAUUCGGAGGAACACCAGUGGCGAAGGCGGCUCACUGGCUCGAUACUGACGCUGAGGUGCGAAAGCGUGGGGAGCAAACAGGAUUAGAUACCCGUGUAGUCC